GAUUUAUCGAAUUGCUUAUUUGGGUUGAUCUUUACUGUUAUAUAUUUGCAUUUCUUCAUGCCCCUAUUUCUCUUGGAUAAUUUAAACUAAAAAAUGAAUAAAUGUUAUAGAGUUUGAAGCUUGAAAGCUAUUUUUUCUUCAUAAAGAGCGACGAUUUGCUUUGAGCAAAGUUACCGUGAAUUUGCAGUUUGCUGUGUAAACAGUAGAAAAAUCUUGCGGGAUAACCGGCUCCAGGACUACAAAAAUACAAAGGGCCGAGAUGCGGUCUGGAUGUUGCUGGAAGACAGGACGAAUAAAAGCGUGAAAGAAUUGAAGUACAGGUGAUGAACCUUGCGAAACACCUAUGUUCGCUAGAAGAAGAAUGUGGCAAGGAGUGGGGAUGAAGAACCUAGUUGCUCAACUUCAUGACCACUAAUGGAUAUGAUGAG